GAUGAAGAACGUAGCGAAAUGCGAUAAGUAAUGUGAAUUGCAGAAUUCAGUGAAUCAUCGAGUCUUUGAACGCACAUUGCGCCCCCUGGCAUUCCGGGGGGCAUGCCUGUUCGAGCGUCAUUACAACCCUCAAGCUCUGCUUGGUAUUGGGCUCUGCUGGGACCGGCAGGCCUUAAAAUCAGUGGCGGCGCCACUCGGCUUCAAGCGUAGUAAUUCUUCUCGCUUCGGAGACCCGGGUGCGUGCUAGCCAGCAACCCCCAACUUUCUUAGGUUGACCUCGGAUCAGGUAGGGAUACCCGCUGAACUUAAGCAUAUCAAUAAGCGGAGGA
rnacentral:misc_RNA from 1 species